ensembl:lncRNA
CAGAGUCAGAGGAAGGAGAUGUAAAAAUGGAGAGGGUCAGAGAGGAGAGGAAAUGCUACCCUGCUAGCUUUGAAUACAGGGAAGAGUCUAGGAAUGCUGACAAUCUCUAGAAGCUGAAGGAGAGAAGGAAGUAAAGACAAGAAAGCAGAUUCUCCCUGGAGCCUCCAGAGUGGAACGCAGCCUUAUCAACAUCUUGAUUUUAGCAAGGAAAUAUCCAGAAUCAGCAAAUUCAUGAAGACAGAAAGCAGAUCGAUGGUUGCCAGGCAAUGGAAGGAGAGGAGAUGGGGUGACUUUUUAAGAGGCAGAUUUCCUUUGGAUCAAAGAAAAUAUUCAGAGACUGACAUAGUGGUGAGGGUUACACAACCUUGUGAGCAAACUGAGUGUCUUUAAUGGUGGGACCCGACAAUCUGAGUUUUGCUUACAGAAAGUGAACAGCACUUCCCAAACUUGGAACGCUGCCUUCUUUUUGAAUCUUCUCUCAACAAUAUGUGCAUGAUCCUUACUGCAAACCAUAAACUAAACUAAAUUCUAAAGGGAUUUAAGAGGGCUUCCCUGGUAGCUCAGCUGGUAAAGAAUCAGCCUACAAUGCAGGAGACCCUGGGUUGAUUCCUGAAUCUGGAAGAUACCCUGGAGAAAGGAUAGACUACCUACUCCAGUAUUCUUGGGCUUCCCUGGUGGCUCAGAUGAUAAAGAAUCCACCUGCAAUGAAGGUGAC